GACGAACGCUGGCGGCGUGCUUAACACAUGCAAGUCGAACGGAAAGGCCCUGCUUUUGUGGGGUGCUCGAGUGGCGAACGGGUGAGUAACACGGGAGUAACCUGCCCUUGACUUUGGGAUAACUUCAGGAAACUGGGGCUAAUACCGGAUAGGAGCUCCUGCUGCAUGGUGGGGGUUGGAAAGUUUCGGCGGUUGGUGAUGGACUCGCGGCUUAUCAGCUUGUUGGUGGGGUAGUGGCUUACCAAGGCUUUGACGGGUAGCCGGCCUGAGAGGGUGACCGGCCACAUUGGGACUGAGAUACGGCCCAGACUCAUACGGGAGGCAGCAGUGGGGAAUAUUGCACAAUGGGCGGAAGCCUGAUGCAGCAACGCCGCGUGCGGGAUGACGGCCUUCGGGUUGUAAACCGCUUUCGCCUGUGACGAAGCGUGAGUGACGGUAAUGGGUAAAGAAGCACCGGCUAACUACGUG
rnacentral:rRNA from 1 species